rnacentral:tRNA from 1 species
GACAUAUCGGGAGAGCUCUUGAAUGGCAUUCAAGAGGUCGUGGGUUCGAGUCCCACUUUCUCCA